rnacentral:rRNA from 1 species
CAAGACCGGUGCCAGCAGCCGCGGUAAUACCGGCGGCCAAGUGGUGGCCACUGUAUGGGCCUAAAGCGUCCGUAGCCGGCCCCGGUAAGUCUCUGCUUAAAUCUGCGGCUCAACCGCAGGGCUGGCAGAGAUACUGCCGGGCUUGGGACCGGGAGAGGCCGGGGGUACCCCAGGGGUAGCGGUGAAAUGCGUUGAUCCCUGGGGGACCACCUGUGGCGAAGGCGCCCGGCUGGAACGGGUCCGACGGUGAGGGACGAAGGCCGGGGGAGCAGACCGGAUUAGAUACUCGGGUAGUCCCGGCUGUAAACUCUGCGGACUAGGUGUCGCGUCGGCUUCGGGCCGGCGCGGUGCCGAAGGGAAGCCGUUAAGUCCGCCGCCUGGGGAGUACGGUCGCAAGACUGAAACUUAAAGGAAUUGGCGGGGGAGCACUACAACGGGUGGAGCCUGCGGUUUAAUUGGAUUCAACGCCGGGCAUCUUACCAGGGGCGACGGCAGGAUGAAGGCCAGGUUGACGACCUUGCCAGACGCGCCGGGAGGUGGUGCAUGGCCGUCGUCAGCUCGUACCGUGAGGCGUCCUGUUAAGUCAGGUAACGAGCGAGACCCGUGCCCCAUGUUGCCAUCCCCUCCUCCGGGAGGGGGGCACUCAUGGGGGACCGCCGGCGAAAAGCCGGAGGAAGGUGCGGGCAACGACAGGUCCGCAUGCCCCGAAUCCCCUGGGCUACACGCGGGCUACAAUGGCCGGGACAAUGGGAUGCGACCCCGAAAGGGGGAGCAAAUCCCCUAAACCCGGUCGUAGUCCGGAUCGAGGGCUGUAACUCGCCCUCGGAAGCCGGAAUCCGUAGAAUGGCUC